rnacentral:rRNA from 1 species
UACGUAGGCAGCAAGCGUUGUUCGGAAUUACUGGGCGUAAAGGGCUCGUAGGCGGCCAACUAAGUCAGACGUGAAAUCCCUCAGCUUAACUGGGGAACUGCGUCUGAUACUGGAUGGCUUGAGUUUGGGAGAGGGAUGCGGAAUUCCAGGUGUAGCGGUGAAAUGCGUAGAUAUCUGGAGGAACACCGGUGGCGAAGGCGGCAUCCUGGACCAACACUGACACUGAUUAGCGAAAGCCAGGGGAGCAAACGGG